rnacentral:tRNA from 1 species
GGUUUGGUAGUUCAGUUGGUUAGAAUAUCUGCCUGUCACGCAGGGGGUCGCGGGUUCGAGUCCCGUCCAGACCGCAA